GAUUCGGCGUUGGCACGAGAUAUAAAAUUUCAGGAUCUACUUGUAGCUAGAGCUUAAAAAGAGAACGUAGAAAAGAAGUUGGUGAAAUGGGGCUCUGUAUAAAUUGAGAUCAGAGAAUAUAUAUGACUUAAUAUUAUGUAUAAGAACAUUAGAUGGCUUAAUAUUAUGUAUAAGAACAUUAGAUGCCCUCUCCAUUCAUUACCCUACUUGUGCAUGUCAGGUAUUGGACUUGCUUUGCUC
rnacentral:lncRNA from 1 species